AAGUCGUAACAAGGUUUCCGUAGGUGAACCUGCGGAAGGAUCAUUAACGUAUCUCUGACGGUGAGGGCGCGCCCUGCUCCGGGAACCGAAAGGCCCCGUGCAGCGGGUGAGCCCGAGCCGCUCAACCCUUGCAAACCCACUGUGCACAUUUGUCGGCGGAGGGCCCAGUCAAUGGGCCCCGAGCCGGACCCACAAACUCCAAGCAUUAAAAGAAUGACUAGCGGACGUUGUGCCGUCUAAACUUUAACAACUUUCAACAACGGAUCUCUUGGCUCUC
rnacentral:misc_RNA from 1 species